AUGCCACUGGAUCCAAACAUGCAUAUGGCACAGGAUCAGAACGACGACGACGACGAAGAUGAUACAUUUGGCAACGUCGAUCAGUAUUUUGCCGAACAUGGGUACGAUGGCGACUUCAUGGGGCCUCCUUCUCAAGAACCAAACCCAACAAAAGACGUGUGCGAUCUAGCUGGUACCGCGGAGAAGCCAAGUUGCAACAGGCGCCGUCUGACGUUCAGCUCUCAGGAGACGCCUCCAGCUGCCGACUUCACCGAGCCUCAGAUAGGCGAGGUGCGAAAUAUUAUCAGCCCCAACACACUCAAGAAGGCGGUCUGUGAGCAGAACUCGGUCCCAUUACAGGAGAAGAAGAAGGCACGCAAAAGAAAGACUAAGAAGGGUGCGAGCCAGCCGGCACCAAGUACGAUCCGUGCUCAGGACGGGCCACCUUCACCGCAGGAUAUCUCGAGGAGGGUGCAUGUGGCGGGUAGGGCGAUGCUACUGACAAAUAUGCUCAAUGCUGCAACCGGUGCUAUGCGGAGUCUGCAUGACAGUGUUCUUUCUUUGGAGAAGCGGCGUCUCAGGGAGAAGGAUGUGGCAUACCCAGUUUUCGCGGCCAAGGUGUCAGAGGGCAAGGGCUUUGUGGAUAACUCCAUCGGGCGUACAAUCGUCCUGUGUUUUGAUGACAUCCAUGCUAUGUUGAACCUUCAUCCGCUGCACUACACCUUCGUUCGGCUAUUUUCGCUGAGUAUGGAGAUGCAGAUCAUUCGCGACAAGACCCCGGACAUCGUGAUAGUCGACCCCUUCUACAUGCGUGCCAAGAUCUUGGGCAGCGCUGGGGACCGGCAAGUCGCGAGUUCUUACCUCGAAGGCGGCAUUCUGGCAAACCAAGAUAAGGAUAACUUCCUCGUGCCUUACUUUCCCGAGUAA
rnacentral:rRNA from 1 species